rnacentral:rRNA from 2 species
CGAUUGAAACGACUGCUAAGACUGGAUAGGAAGAUAAAAGGCAUCUUGUAUCUUUUAAAAGACCUAGUUAAUAGGUAUGCUUUAGGAGGGGCUUGCGCCAUAUUAGUUAGUUGGUAGGGUAAUGGCCUACCAAGACGAUGAUGUGUAGCUGGACUGAGAGGUUGAACAGCCACAUUGGGACUGAGACACGGCCCAAACUCCUACGGGAGGCAGCAGUAGGGAAUUUUCGGCAAUGGAGGAAACUCUGACCGAGCAACGCCGCGUGAAUGACGAAGUACUUCGGUAUGUAAAGUUCUUUUAUCGAGGAAGAAAAGCAAAUGGCGAACCAUUUGUUUGCCGGUACUUGAUGAAUAAGCCCCGGCUAAUUAUGUGCCAGCAGCCGCGGUAAGACAUAAGGGGCAAGUGUUAUCCGGAAUUAUUGGGCGUAAAGGGUGCGUAGGCGGUCUAGUAAGUCAGUGGUGUAAUGUCAACGCUUAACGUUGUCCGGCUAUUGAAACUGCUAAACUUGAGUUAGAUAGAGGCGAGUGGAAUUCCAUGUGUAGCGGUAAAAUGCGUAAAUAUAUGGAGGAACACCAGAGGCGUAGGCGGCUCGCUGGGUCUUAACUGACGCUGAGGCACGAAAGCGUGGGGAGCAAACAGGAUUAGAUACCCUGGUAGUCCACGCCGUAAACGAUGAGUACUAAGUGUCGGGUUAAACCGGUACUGAAGUUAACACAUUAAGUACUCCGCCUGAGUAGUACGUACGCAAGUAUGAAACUUAAAGGAAUUGACGGGACUCCGCACAAGCGGUGGAUCAUGUUGUUUAAUUCGAAGAUACCUGAAAAACCUUACCAGGUCUUGACAUGUUUUUGCAAAAUGAUAGUAAUAUCGUGGAGGUUACCAGAAACACAGGUGGUGCAUGGUUGUCGUCAGCUCGUGUCGUGAGAUGUUAGGUUAAGUCCUAAAACGAGCGAAACCCUUAUCGUUAGUUGCCAGCACGUUAUGGUGGGGACUUUAACGAGACUGCCAAUGAUAAAUUGGAGGAAGGUGAGGAUCACGUCAAAUCAGCAUGCCCCUUAUGACCUGGGCUACAAACGUGAUACAAUGGCUGUUACAAAGGGUAGCUGAAACGCAAGUUCUUGGCCAAUCCCCAAAAACAGUCCCAGUCCGGAUUGAAGUCUGCAACUCGACUUCAUGAAGUUGGAAUCGCUAGUAAUCGCGAAUCAGCAUGUCGCGGUGAAUACGUUCGCGGGGUUUGUACACACCGCCCGGUCAAAUCACUAGUGAAUU